rnacentral:snoRNA from 1 species
CUUCGGUGAUGAUAAGAUGACGAGUCAGAAGAGGGGUGACUCCUGUUGAGCGGUACCUGCAGUGUCAUGUUCUGUGAUGCUGUGCAUGGUUCGUUAGCAGGAGCACCCUGUCAUCAUUGAACGAUUUAGAGGCAUUUGUCUGAGAAGG